GUUUGCGUCAGCGCCUGGGCGGGUCUCGGACGCUGUGGGCGCGCCUGGUAAGGUCCUGCUGUAUCCGCCUGGUUCCUGUCCCGCUGUGGGAGGGGCUCUGAAGCGCCGGGACUACGGCUGAGACCCAUCGGGCCGGGCCAGGUAGCGGACGAGGUCGACUGUUCGUUUAAGAAGCGGGGACUCUUGUCCUGAGCGCACCCAGUCUUUCAGCCUGCGGGACGGUGAUGCGAUUUGCAUUAGAGAAAGGGAGAUGCCAUGUGCUGGCCCAUCACUCCAACAGGGGCCUUAACUCUGGGAAUCGGACACUGGAGGAAACUUAGACGUUUGAACAAAUCAAGUCGUCCAGAUCCAUGGUCAGCUCCUGCCUCGACGUGGCCUUCCUCUUGCCGGGCUGGCCCCCAGACCUUGGGAACCUGCGCUGGCUGUGGGUGACCUGCAGUACCAGCUGUCACAGUCUCCUGACCCCAUGCCUUUUGGAAGAAUUAGAAUUUAAUGGCAUUGGCCUCCUGAAGCUGUUGAGGACUUCACACCUGACCACUGUGAGCUGGUUUCUUCUGUGUUGCAGUGGAGCCUCACCUGUUAGUUUCAUGCUCUAGCCUGGCUUUGGAGAACCCAGGGAGAGGUGAGCUGGGAGCCCUGUUCCCUGGCCUGGGGCUCUGGGGCAUGGACUGCGUGACUGUCUCUAUCCAGCCACUCUUGCUGCUUUCUGAGUCGAAAUGGACCAUGUUGCCAUUAUUUUGGGGUGUGCCCGAGUGCGCUGAGGACAGUUGGCUGGUAAGAUCACUGUCAUUUGGAAGCUUCUUGGUGCUUUCUUCCUGGGUCUGGAUCCGGGCUGCAGGGAAAGGGAGGACUUGUGAGAAGACAAGUAUCACUGAGCAGGUGACACCUUCAGGAGGGCUGAGUUGCAAGAGUUUUAUGACUUCCAGGAGUUGGUCUGAAAACAAUUGAGUGCACUGACAAAUACACCUCACCAGUGGGCAACAAAUAUUCUGUCAUUCAAAUGAUUUCAUCCCUGAAAGUUGGAGCUGGGCGUGUAGGAGGAAUCAAGUGAACACAUGUCUUCACAGUGCUCCAUCUGAUUUCCCAUGAGGUAAAGCAACCUGUCUUCUAGGACUAUGGAAGCCCCAUGCAGGAACCUGGUUCUGAGACUGGGGUUUACACCCUAUGCUUAAAGAACUGGAAAUGCCCCUGAAGUCCCAAGACCACAACCCUCCACUUUCUAAAGGUAAAACCAGUCACUAAACCUGACUUGAAGGAUAUUGAUUCUAUUUUAAAAUAUUCUCUUUGCAAAGGACAACUAAGUGUCUCUCUUUUCACACUUUAGCAAAGGAAAAUCCUCCUUUGGGAAGGAGACAAAUAAUGGAUGACUACUGUUUGGGGCUAGCUCCUGGUUUUUCUUGUGGAUGAUGAGGACUGUGUUAAUAAAUUCCUGACUUUCAUGUUUAAUCAACAUACGUUGAGCACCGACUUUUGCUGGAUAUGGCACUAAGCACCCUCACACAUUUCAGUUUGUUCACUCUCUGCAAUAGCAAAAGGAGAGGUAAAUAUCCAAUUGAUAGACAAGAAGGGCAAAUAUGGGGAAACCAAAGACAUGUUGCUAAUAAGAAGCCGACCCUAUAUCAUCCAAACCGGGAGGUUUGCGGAAGGAAAGAACUGAGCCCACAGACAAGAACCAGAUCACCCCAGGAAAGCUGGGACUUAUGGUCACCCUGAAAAGAAAUGCCAGCUGGGAAACAAAACCCAUGUCUUCUGACUUCAGUCUAAAUCAGUUUAUGCUGGAUAUGCAUUCGAUCUAAUACUUGCAGAAUUUGGAUUUAUUGAUGUGAAAAUAAGCAUAGAUAUAAGAAUAUGUUUAAUUAGUAAAAUGUUUUUAACAGGAAAUGUUAACAUGUUGGAUGUUAGGCAAGACACUUAGCUUCUCUGAACUUCAGUUUUCUCAUCUUUAAAAGGGGUAAAAUAAUAGCAGUUCUCACGGGUUUACUAUACGGAUGAAAUCAGUUACUCCAGGUAGAGAAGUACCUGAUAUCUAGCACUAUUAAAUAAAUGUCAGAUAUUAUUUUUAACACCAUAUUUGUAAAGGUAUUUUGUAAAAUACAGUGGACUCUAGGAACACGGACUUUGACAGGAAGAAUAUGACUUUAUACCUCUCAAUUGCCACGCAUUUUACUGAAUGAUUAUGAAGAGAGAGUGUUUUCUGGAUGUAUGGAAUGUCCCAGGUUCUUUUUGGUGUAUUUCCUUGCUUGUUUUUUAACAAAUGGCAUUAUUUCUGGUCCAACAGGUGAAACCAGAGAUAGUGGGGUCAUUUAAGGAACUCUCAGCUGCGGCCCGCAGACACACGCCUAUGUGUGGGUGGCAUGGGGGGACCCCUCCAGCUCCUCAGUGUCUCCGGGUACAGGAUUGCCAUGGCCUGGGAGGUGCCAUGGGUAACCAGACUUCCCAGCUUGCUGCCUCCCCAGGCGUGGGUCUGCAGUCUGGGGGAUGGCUGUGCUCGUGGGCCCUGUGUCUAAGUGAAAAUUAGGAGGAACAUGGAGGGAGGGUGGCGAGCAAGGGCAGAUUGGCCAAGGUCCCCAGCAGCCACUCCUGAAGUCCUCACUAAGGAGAAGCAGCCUCUCCUCCCAGCCUUCCCCCAGUCCUCCCUAUGAGUGUAUUCUGCUGGUUUCUGUGCAGAUUUUUUGGGGCUGUGACCAAUAGUAGCUUAAACAUGGACUAUUUUCUGUUUAAUUUCUUCCUGUAAAAUCCUUAGAAAACCACUAAUAAAAUUAAUACAUAUGUGAAAGAGUUCUCUUGGAAACACCCUUUCUUAAUGCUUAUAACUGUGUUUAUUAUGGUUGUGUCUCAUCCAGUAAAUUAAGUAAAUUAGUAAGUAAAUUAAAUCAUAGCCAGAUGAGAUGUAAGGAAAGGCAAGAAGAAACUUUGAUACCUACCAAAUCAUUCCUUGGUUGUAGACUAAAUGUAACACAUUCUCUGCUAUUUUGAAUUCUCCAUAUUCAGGCUACAAGAGAAAAUAAACUUGUGCAUUAAACAAGUUCCAAAGUUCUUUGCAUGAACCAAUUCAUUACAGUCAUGUAUACAGACUUCUUGGCUCUUAUGAGCACUUAGAGAUCAGUGCGUGUGGGGCCAUCCCAGCAAAUGAGGGUUGUUAAGAAGCAAGUGGGGCUGGGUGUGGUAGCUUAUGCCUGUAAUCCCAGCACUCUAGGGGACUGAGGAAGCAGGAACACUAGAAGUCAGGAGUUUGAGGCCAGCCUGGGUAACAUAGUGAGACCCCCUCUCUACAAAAAGAAUUUAAAACUAGCUGGGUAUGGUGGCAUGUGACUCGAGAGGCCAAGGCAGGAGGAUUGCUUGAGCCCAUGAGUUUGAGGCUGCAGGGAGCCAAGGUCAUACCACUGCACUCCAGCCCAGGUAGCAGAGCAAGAUCCUGUCUCUAAAAAAAAAAAAAAAAAACAAAAAAACAAACAAGGAA